rnacentral:rRNA from 1 species
UACGAAGGGAGCUAGCGUUGUUCGGAAUCACUGGGCGUAAAGCGCACGUAGGCGGAUGUGUCAGUCAGGGGUGAGAUCCCGGAGCUCAACUUCGGAACUGCCUUUGAUACAGCACGUCUUGAGUCCGAUAGAGGUGGGUGGAAUUCCUAGUGUAGAGGUGAAAUUCGUAGAUAUUAGGAAGAACACCGGUGGCGAAGGCGGCCCACUGGAUCGGUACUGACGCUGAGGUGCGAAAGCGUGGGGAGCAAACAGG